rnacentral:rRNA from 1 species
UACGUGGGGACCGAGCGUUGUCCGGAAUCAUUGGGCGUAAAGCGCGUGUAGGCGGCUCGGCAAGUCGGGUGUGAAAGCCCUGGGCUUAACCUAGGAAGUGCACUCGAAACUGCCAAGCUUGAGUUCUGGAGAGGAAGGCGGAAUUCUCGGUGUAGAGGUGAAAUUCGUAGAUAUCGAGAGGAACACCGGUGGCGAAGGCGGCCUUCUGGACAGCAACUGACGCUGAGACGCGAAAGCGUGGGGAGCAAACAGG